GAUGAACGCUGGCGGCGUGCCUAAUACAUGCAAGUCGAGCGAACAGACGAGGAGCUUGCUCCUCUGACGUUAGCGGCGGACGGGUGAGUAACACGUGGAUAACCUACCUAUAAGACUGGGAUAACUUCGGGAAACCGGAGCUAAUACCGGAUAACAUGUUGAACCGCAUGGUUCAACAGUGAAAGACGGUCUUGCUGUCACUUAUAGAUGGAUCCGCGCCGCAUUAGCUAGUUGGUAAGGUAACGGCUUACCAAGGCAACGAUGCGUAGCCGACCUGAGAGAGUGAUCGGCCACACGGGAACUGAGACACGGUCCAGACUCCUACGGGAGGCAGCAGUAGGGAAUCUGCCGCAAAGGGCGAAAGCCUGACGGAGCAACGCCGCGUGAGUGAAGAAGGUCUUCGGAUCGUAAAACUCUGUUAUUAGGGAAGAACAAAUGUGUAAGUAACUAUGCACGUCUUGACGGUACCUAAUCAGAAAGCCACGGCUAACUACGUG
rnacentral:rRNA from 1 species